rnacentral:rRNA from 1 species
AGCUUAAAGUUUGAUUCUUGCUUAUAUUUUUUAUAUUAUGAUUAAAAAAUACAUGAAAAUUAUAGUGUUCCCUUAUAUUAUAAAUUUAAAAUUUAAUAUAAUUAAAUCUCAGUAUUCAGUAUUAAAUAUUAAUUAACAUUAGAAUUGGUAAUCAUUUAAAUCCUGACCAAAAUUUGUGCCAGCAGUCGCGGUUAUACUUAGAGGGUAAAUAAAUAUAAUUUGGUAUUUAUAGUAAAUUAUUAGUUAAUUAAAACUUAUUAUUUUUUCUAAAGGGUAAAAUCAGAAUUUAAUAAUAAUAAUAAUUUUAAAAUAAAACUAAAAUAAACUAUAGAUUUUAAUAUAUAAACUAGGAUUAGAU